rnacentral:rRNA from 1 species
UACGGAGGGAGCUAGCGUUGUUCGGAAUUACUGGGCGUAAAGCGCACGUAGGCGGCUAUUCAAGUCAGAGGUGAAAGCCCGGGGCUCAACUCCGGAAUUGCCUUUGAAACUAGAUAGCUUGAAUCAUGGAGAGGUGAGUGGAAUUCCGAGUGUAGAGGUGAAAUUCGUAGAUAUUCGGAAGAACACCAGUGGCGAAGGCGGCUCACUGGACAUGUAUUGACGCUGAGGUGCGAAAGCGUGGGGAGCAAACAGG